UACGGGGGGGGCAAGCGUUGUUCGGAAUUACUGGGCGUAAAGGGCUCGUAGGCGGCCAACUAAGUCAGACGUGAAAUCCCUAGGCUCAACCUAGGAACUGCGUCUGAUACUGGAUGGCUUGAAUCCGGGAGAGGGAUGCAGGAUUCCAGGUGUAGCGGUGAAAUGCGUAGAUAUCUGGAGGAAUACCGGUGGCGAAGGCGGCAUCCUGGACCGGCAUUGACGCUGAGGAGCGAAAGCCAGGGGAGCAAACGGG
rnacentral:rRNA from 1 species